CAGCUGAUCUGAAUUGUGUCGCAGCGUCAACAUCAAAAAACGGUUCCUUCAUUUGGGAUAUGGAUAAAAACAAGGUAAUUCACCGCUAUCAAGAGCACAAAGGAAGCGUGUUUUGUGUUGCAUGGAAUCAGAAGGAUUCCAGGAGAAUAGCAACGUGUGGCUCAGAUGGCUACUGCAUUAUCAGAAAUGUUGAUGGAUCCAGUUUGCAAAAGUACAAGCACCCAUCUUGCGUCUUUGGUUGUGAUUGGAGUACUAACAACAAGUAAGAUCAAAG